GACCCUUUAGACCCUGCCUAGCUUAAACGUUAUGGAAAUCAAAGUUAUUCAAAAAUAACCGCUGAGCUACUUCUUCGGCUUACUGCUUGUUUUUGGAAGGUCACCAGCUCGUCGCGCUAGGAACCCUCCAAACGGGAGUCGUUGCAACACUUGCCGUAGUACCGCCGCGGCGAGUGCCGCGAACUUUGCAUUUCCCUGCCCACCUGCCUGCACGCUUUUGCCACAUACCGCCAGAGAUCGAUGAAGUUCCAGUCGAGCGUUUGUUAAAUCACCCUAGGAAUUAAUAAUUGUAGAUUUUCACUGGGGUGGGCCUAAACCAUAGGGACCUUAGGGGCCUUGACUACAGCCGACGGCAAAGAUAAAAGACCAGCUUCUGGGGAUUGAGACUUGGGCACCGAAUCGCCGUAAACCAGAAGUUUCACGAGACAUCCUCCCAAGAUCACGAUGUUUACCACAUAUAUAAAGAAAAUGUUGAAUAACCAACUUUCCCAAAAUCUCCACAAAUUGCUACCUGGAAAAC